rnacentral:rRNA from 1 species
CUAAUCAAGCCCGGAGAUAGCUGGUUCUCCUCGAAAUCUAUUUAGGUAGAGCCUCGUGUAUCACCCUGGGGGGUAGAGCACUGUUACGGCUAGGGGGCCAUCCCGGCUUACCAACCCGUUGCAAACUCCGAAUACCCAGGAGUGCAAUCACGGGAGACACACGGCGGGUGCUAACGUCCGUCGUGGAAAGGGCAACAACCCAGACCGCCAGCUAAGGUCCCAAAAUACAGCUCAGUGGGAAACGAUGUGGGAAGGCAUAGACAGCCAGGAGGUUGGCUUAGAAGCAGCCAUCCUUUAAGGAAAGCGUAAUAGCUCACUGGUCGAGUCGGCCUGCGCGUAAGAUUUAACGGGGCUAAGCUGUAUACCGAAGCUGCGGAUGCAAUUUAUUGCAUGGUAGAGGAGCGUUCUGUAAGCCGUUGAAGGUGAUCUGUGAGGAUUGCUGGAGGUAUCAGAAGUGCGAAUGCUGACAUGAGUAACGAUAAUGCGGGUGAAAAACCCGCACGCCGAAAGCCCAAGGUUUCCUACGCAACGUUAAUCGGCGUAGGGUUAGUCGGCCCCUAAGGCGAGGGCGAAAGCCGUAGUCGAUGGGAAACAGGUUAAUAUUCCUGUACCACUAACAACUGCGAUGGGGGGACGGAGAAGGCUAGGUCAUCCGGUUAUUGGAUUUCCGGUUCAAGCAUGUAGGUAGGUCUCUUAGGUAAAUCCGGGAGACUAUUACUGAGACGCGAUGACGAGUGUCCUAAAGGACGCGAAGUGAUUGAUGCCAUACUUCCAGGAAAAGCCUCUAAGCUUCAGGUUGUUAGUGACCGUACUCUAAACCGACACAGGUGGGCGAGAUGAGUAUUCUAAGGCGCUUGAGAGAACUCGGGUGAAGGAACUAGGCAAAAUGGUACCGUAACUUCGGGAGAAGGUACGCCCAUAUUAGGUGAAGCCCCUGCGGGUGGAGCUGAGAUGGGUAGCAUUAAACUGGUGGCUGCGACUGUUUAUUAAAAACAUAGCACUCUGCAAACACGUAAGUGGACGUAUAGGGUGUGACGCCUGCCCGGUGCCGGAAGGUUAAUUGAUGGG